UACGGGGGGGUAAGCGUUGUUCGGAAUUACUGGGCGUAAAGGGCUCGUAGGCGGCCAACUAAGUCAGACGUGAAAUCCCUCAGCUUAACUGGGGAACUGCGCCUGAUACUGGAUGGCUUGGAUUUGGGAGAGGGAUGCGGAAUUCCAGGUGUAGCGGUGAAAUGCGUAGAUAUCUGGAGGAACACCGGUGGCGAAGGCGGCAUCCUGGACCAAUAUUGACGCUGAGGAGCGAAAGCCAGGGGAGCAAACGGG
rnacentral:rRNA from 1 species